rfam:Ictidomys tridecemlineatus contig058984, whole genome shotgun sequence.
GAGUGUGGAGGAGAACCAGCUGCAAUAUCUGUCACCCCACUGAUGGCCAGGGUUGUUUUCACUGAUCUGGCUGGCUAGGUGGGUGUCCCCCUCCUCCCUCACAGCUCCAUGUGCAUCCCCUUCCAAAGCUUUGCAAUCAGAGGAUGACCUUCCCCAUAGAGGAGGAGUGUUCUUAGGUCAAAGAUAUAGGGGUAGCUGCACUCUCCUGCUGGAACCUCCAAACAAGCUCUCAAGAAUGUGAACAAAGGCAUUGAAACUGCAAGAAAAAUCAAUAUUAACUAU